UACAGAGGAUGCAAGCGUUAUCCGGAAUGAUUGGGCGUAAAGCGUCUGUAGGUGGCUUUUUAAGUCCGCCGUCAAAUCCCAGGGCUCAACUCUGGACAGGCGGUGGAAACUACCAAGCUGGAGUACGGUAGGGGCAGAGGGAAUUUCCGGUGGAGCGGUGAAAUGCGUAGAGAUCGUAAGGAAGGCCAGUGGCGAAGGCGAGUUCCUGGACAGUUACUGACGCUGAGGCACGAAGGCCAGGGGAG
rnacentral:rRNA from 1 species